AGUUCCCCAACAAGCCCGAUGCCCGCGGCACCGUUGGAGCCUAAUCAGGUAUUUUGUUUCUUUCUUUGAGUUGAAAUGAUGAAACUUAUUGCAAUUUUGUUGAAUGUAAUAUUUGUGAAUAUGUGGCUAAAACUGGUUUAUUGUCCUAUCUACUCAGAAAUUUAUGCAACAGUUUCUUAAUACAAGUACUGCAGCUUUCUUUUUCAUUAAGUACUUCACUCCGAACGUACAACUUGAUCAGAUUUUUUUCUAUUUUGAAUUCAAAGUUUGGCGCACGGUCAUUUUUGGAUUUAUGAUUCUUGAUUGGUUGAAGUAAAGCUGUUUCUUCUUAUUGUCUUAACAUUUUAAGUUAGCUUGGAAUUUAUAGCAAUCCUUUGUCUGCUGGAACGCAGUCCAAAAUUUGAGACAGCUCAAUAGAAUAGCCUGACUAAUUAUGAAUGGAACACUCGUUGUUAAUGUGACCUUGGUCCCCUUGAAAUUUGCUCGGUAAUUUUAAGCCAAAGCAAAAUAAAGCAAUUAGAAAGGCUUCUGAUGAAUUCUUUGGGGAUGCUAAGCUGGCGUAAUAUCUUACGCAGAUCUUUGAAAAUAUCAGAGUAGUCCAAAAGUAUUUGUUUAUGACUUAUAGGGUGCAUUUGGCUCGCAUUAUGAAAGAUUACUAGGAAUAAAAGAUAUCCGAGAAUCUUAUUCUUAUUCAUCCUAUUACUAAGAAUGUGGAAUUCCUGUGUUUGGUUCGCACGGUAAUAUUAAUUAGCCAUGUUAUUUAAUAUUACAAAAAAUAUACAAUUAAUUAAUUAAUUAAUUUAUUUAAUUUUAAAUAAUGUUACGAAAAGUUUCAAUAUUUUUUUAGAAAAAAGGGACAGAGAGUAUAAGUUAGAGAGAGAGAGCAUAAUUAAAAAAAUAAAAAGAAAAAUAUAGUCGAAAUUAGAGGGAGUGAGAGAGUUGAAAUUUUAGAAAGAGAGAGAGAGAGAGAGAGCUUAGUUUAGAGAGAGAAAAAAAAGUUGAAUUUUAGAGAGAAAAAUAAGUUUAGAGAGAGAUAUAAGGUUAGAGUGUAAAGAAAAAUAAUAUCAAUUAGCCGGCGGGUAGGAAGAAAGAAAGAGAUUAGACAUAUUAUGAUUACCCCAAUCUAUUAAUAUGAGGAUAUCCACCCUCCCUCAAGGGAAUGAGAUUACUACUUUAGGGUGAAUCUUAUUCCCAAGUGAAUCCAAUAUUACCAACUAGAUUACUUAGUGCGUUUAGCCAAACACCGCCAUAUUUUUUUAUUCCCAUUGGAUUACUAGUAAUCUUUAGAAGAUAGCGCGAACCAAACGCACCCAUAAGUCCUUAGAGCUUGCUUAUUUGCAUUUGGAGCAUGGCGAAGUGACGGUAAGAGGUUAUUGUUUUGAAUAUCCUUCCUCACACAAGGGGGGGAGCUAAGAGAAUUUCUACAUAGCUAGUGGUAAUAUAACUAGAGCACAGUUUGCUUUAAAGGAUCAUCUUAAAAGGACUUUUAUGAAAGAUGACUUUGGUCUUCUAAAUGCUGGUUUGUGAAUCGCAAGCCGUCUAACUGAGCACAAUAAGACUACAGAAGGGCUUUACAGUUUUACAGUUGCACAAAAUACUAUGGAACAGGUUGAAAGGAGUUUGUCUUUGUUAGUCACAUUUCUUGGGUGUCUUUGGCUUAACUUGAAAUUGUUUAUGAUAUAGCUUUUGACCCCUCUGACUGAACUAUUUAUACCUUGUAGUGACUGCAAUAUCAUUUAAUAAGUAUUUUUUUUUCGUCCCGACUCUUUUCUGUGGAGCAUUCUUUAUUUCCCUAUCUGCUGUAAAUCUUGCAAGUAAACCUUUGUUUUUAGUUUUGAUAUUUAGCCAAUCAAUAUGCAUUCGAGUUGCUGACCCUGAAAAAGUAAAUGUGCUGGUCAAUCGCAAGGUAGAGAAACACAAUACAUCCUUUUUGGCUUUGGGCUCUGGUGGUAUUUUAUUAUUAUUGAUGCCAACAAGGGUGAUUAGGAAUAAUCUAGCGGCAACUUGUAUAAGGACCUAGCUCAAAAUAGGAUUGAGUGGUGUAAGAGGAUUGAUAUGUCCAAUCUCAUUUUAUUUCUUUUGAGGAUUAGUAUAGCGAUCCCCAUGUAUCAUGGAAAGGAGGGCUAGUUUAGUUGAUAAGAGUUUUUGGCUUGGAAAGACAAUUUAUGUUAUUUAGCUACAUGCUGAUUUUGUCUUAUUCAGCAGAGAAAUCAUGUUUUUCUGAUUUUUCUUAGAUGCUUGGCUUAAACUUUUGGAUCUUGCAUCAUAGGGCGGGAAUCAACGUUUCUUUCUGACCCAAAGCUACUAUUACAACAGUAAUCCUCGGCAAAAUUUCUACUAGUUUGUAAUGAUAGUUUCGGUUGUAUACGACUAGUCUUUUCCAUCUUGAAGCUUAACAAAAAAGAAAGUUGCCAUUAUUUUUCUACUUGGCUUAUUAGACACAAUUUUUGCAGACAUGUUCUCUUUAGACACAAUUUUUGCAGACAUGUUCUCUUUAACCUAUUCUAUGCUUGCUUUGAAACUUACAGGAGGAUUAAAAUAGAUUAUAUUUAGUAAGUAGACUAUCAUUUUGUCUUUUAGGGUGCUAUUGUUUUUCUUAAUAGUAUCAGUUAGCUCACUCUUGAUGUUGGCUUAAAGGGGCAGCAACCUGCCUGGUGGCAUGAGGCCGGGUUGGGCCGAGUCAUGUUCAAGAUGACGGGAGGUCGGAUUGGGCCAAGUCAUGCUCGAAGUGGCGUGAGGCUGGUUAGGCCGAGUCACAAUCGAGACCCGUGAGCGCUGUCUAUAUGCUUCAAGCGAAUUAGUUGUGUAUUUCUAAUAGCUCGAGCUUUUGGGAGUAAUGAUUAGCGCCAACGAUCCAACAAGUGGUAUUAGAGCCAAAGGUUACGAGUUCGAUUUCUGCAAGCUGCGAAUUUGUACAGGGGCGAGGAAGGGGGGUGGCUUAAGGAGGCCAAGAUCCUACCAUGUGGCGGGAGUGUUAGAAAAUUGCGUACGGUAAAAACGCAGCGAAAAAAGAAUCAAACAAAUUUGAUUUUGAAAACUCUCCAGAUCCAAUCUCAAAAAUCACGCAAUUAGGAUCCCUCAUGUUCUUUAAAAUUAAAGAAGAAAAACAAGAUCGAAUCUUUACCUUUUUCGCGGAUAGAUCUUCACCUCAACUUGAUGAUCGUGGAAUUGGGUUCUCUUGAAGCCGCACACGAGUCCGGCCUCUAUAGGUUUCCACACGAGGUUGAUGAUUUGAUCGAUAUCCUCACCGGGGUGCUAGCUCCCUUGCAAAGGACGUCGUUCUUGCUAGAAAAUGGAAGAGAGAGGAGAAGAGAGAUAACCGCUAGGGUUUUCUAAAAACUCCCGUAUAUUAUAUAUAGGAAUAUAAUCCUUUUUCUAAUAAUAUAAUGAUAAUUAAGGAUAAGUACAAAUCUAGAUUUAUAUUUAUCAUUUCCUUAAUUGGUUAGAUCGAUCAAAUCCUAAUUUGAUUCGAUCUUUAUAUUAAUUUGAUCAUAUCAAAUUAAUAAUGCAACAUUUGCACAUAAGUCCUCUUAUAAUUUACUAACUAUUAGUAAGUCCUCUCUUGUAACAUUUACACUUUAAUACCACUAAUUUGUAACAAUUACAAAUUAGUCCAAUUAUCAACAUAUUGACAAUUAGGUCCUCCGGCGAUUCAAUAAUCGCGAUCUAGCUAUCCGAUCAAUCACAACCUCUUAUGUGUGUGACCCCAUAGGUUCUAUUCUAUCUGGUAGUGAGAUAUAUUUUGAUCACUAUCAACAAUAUCACUGAAACUCCUUUCAAUGGAUUAGAACAAUUCCAACUCAGCCCAAUGAGAAUUAUCGAUCAUCUAGAUAAUUCUCAUGAGUCUCACAAUCCACCAGUGACGCCUAGCAGCAUGUAGUGGCAUUCCAGUAGAAUGGAAUACUGAACCUCUUGGUGCAGUUACCGUGUGAUACAAUCCUUCUAUCAUGAGUCCCGACUAGACGGAGGUUAUGGAAUAACUCGUCAAACCCCAUCGUCUGUCAUAUGUUAAAUUUAUUCGACUCGAGUUUCUAAUAUCGGAAACCCUUUUCCGCUAUUUAUUCUGCCCUGGCCAAGGUCUUCUAAACUCGGUCUCAUAAAUCACAUAGGACUAACACCCCUAUCUACCAAGGGAGAUAGAUUCCAUCUAAGUGCGCACCCUAUUCCUACAAUGAACCUACUGCAGCCAACAUGCACCGCAAGGACCCGAAUGGCUAGGGACCAAGUGUAUGUACAGUCAAACUACAGUAACCUCAUUGUGAAUAGCCGAGGCACCGCAGGUUAAAGGACCAGUCACACUACUGCACAAUUGAGUAAGUCACUGACGAGUGAGUAGACAUCUAAGUGACUUCUCGCGUUGGUCACGCUCGGUACCCUUGUUCUCUAACAACCACCUGCAUAUUCGCUUCAGUGUCCCCACUCUGUCGACUCGAGACUCGUUUACCCAGAAAGGAAAGCGACCUAUGCACCAAUCUCACCGGAUCAAUCACCGUCCCCGUGAUGAUCCAUUGAUCGGGAGCAUUUAGAAAUUAACCACCAAUGACACAUGUCUCAAAUUCUCAACACUUGAGAAUAUAUGUCAUUAUCUUAUUAAUUCCUUGGACGAUUCAUGGACACAUACACAACAUGAAUGGAAAUAAAAAUCCAAAGUUUUUCAUAAUAUUUUAAAGUCAAAUACAAAUUUAUGUUCUAGAAAGAAUACAUUUGUCGGCUUGGUUGGCUUCUAGGGCAUACAUCUAACAGGGAGACCAGGUUGAGCUGAGUUACGUUCAAAAUGACAGGAGGUUGGAUUGGACCGAGUCAUGUUCGAAAUGACGUGAGGCUGGUUGGGCCAAGUACAAUUGAGAUCCAUCGGCGCUGUGCCUUAUGCUUUAAGUGAAUUGGUUUGUGUAUUUUUAAUAGCUCGAGCUUUGGGGAUUAAUGGUUAGUGCCAACGAUCCAACACUUGAGACAUUGACCUAUUAGGUGUGUCGAUAAUAAGAAUUCUGAAGAUUUUGUUUCUCUCGGUGCUAUUAUUUUAUUUCUAGGGAACAAUGACACCAUGAUGUUUCAAAUAGUAAACUGCGCAGAGUGGUUGCACCAACUUGCCAUUAGCUGUUCUGUCUUGUUGGAAAAUCUAGAGCAUAAAUGGCCCUUAACAAUUGUCUCCUUUGGAUAGAAAGUAAAUAGUGAUAUCUGAGUAUUCCCCUUGGUAGAUCUUGACUUCUGUCUGCUUGGGGAAAAAAAAAAACAUAUUAUUUCAUGUUAUCCGGAAUGAAACUUUUUAGAUCAUGCUGUUUCAAGCAAUGCCGCUGCUUCAUUAGAGUAUUUUAUUGUUAGUUUGUCUUUAGGAACUUAAAUAUGCUCACUACAACUUUGAUGUUAUAAAACUUCUAAUUUGAUGCAAUGCUAUUGUCACGAUCUUCAUAAUUUUCUUUUCUUUUGUAUCUUUCAAAAAGGCUUCGAAAGAAGAAACAAGAGAGACUCUCCCCAGUAGGGUGAUAGAGACAGAAUGCAAGGUUAGUCUUUUAACUAUUUUUCUUGUUGUUCCUUUUCUGUUUCCUUUUUUUUUUGGUUGUUCUUUGAUAUUUAAUUAUAUGUUGAAGAGAAUUUUGCAUUUUUGGUUAUAUAAAUGCGUAAAAUAAUUUUAUUUUCUUCUUAACAGGAAAACUUCUUGUCUAUACUAGAUGAUAUACAUCUCAUUAGUGUCUUGCAUGUAGUAUUAGUUUCUUUCUCAGGAGUCCGCUUCGAUCCAGAGCCUCGAAAAUCCUAGGUUGAUGGCCUUUGUUGUGCAACAAAGUUUUUGAUUUACGUAUGUUUGUCAAAUUUGGGAUUCUACUCUGCUAUCUCAUCUCCUGAAUAGUUUCUUGCAUGUAAUAUUAGUUUUCUUAUGAAUUUAGUUGUGCAACCAGAUUUUUAAUUUAGGCGUACAUGCCAAAUUUGGAAUUCAACUAUGCUAUCUCAUCUCUUCGAGCAUAUACUGAAAUAUGAAAGGAAGAAACUCGUCGAUACACCAGUAGUUACCGACUUUUGUUUGAUAGGUCCUUUGUGCUGAAACAAAAACUUUUUCUAGAGAACAUCUAAGUAUCCUAGCAUGCAACAUAUGUUUUCAAGAUGUAAAGGGGCGUAAAAAAUAAUCUGCUGAUCAUUGUCAUUUAUUAGAUUUAUUUAUUUAUUUAUUACUUUCGCUUCUCAUUUAUACCUUGUAGAAGGCAACUAAAGAGAAGCAGAAUGAAACGGCGGAGCAAAAAGAAACCGAGAAUGAAAAGGUGGAGAAAAAAGAAAUUGAGAAUGAAAAGGUGGAGCAAAAGGAAACUGAUGUCAGCAUUUAAUCUUGUGCACUUUGUCUCUACUAAUGCUCGUAUUUAAUCUAUGUCAACACUUAAUUUUUUGAAAUAUUGGUUAUGCCAUGUGGUCAUUGUGUUCUUUUCUUCCGGUGAAGUCUAAUUGCUUCGACAUACUUUCUCCAUUUUCAACUGAUUCUUUUUUUAGUUCUUAUUUACAUAUCACUGUUUCUUUAUAUUUUAUUAUUACAUGUAUCCAAGAAGGCAGAAAAUCUGCUUUCAAGAGGUGAAGCAGAACAAGCUAAUGUCAGCAUUCAUCAAUAAUUAAGAGUAAUUUCUUGCAUUUAGUAUUAGUUUCCUUAUUAACUAAGUUGUGGAACAAAGUUUUUGAUUUAGAUGUAUGCGUCAAACUUGGCAUUUAACUCUGCUAUCUCAUCUCUUUAGUUUCUUGGAUGGAGUAUUAGUUUCUUAUCAACUUAGUUGUGCACUUGACUCUUUCUGGACAACAUCUAAGUAUCUUAACAUGCAGUAUAUGUACAAGAUGUAAAGGGGCAUGAAAAAUAAUCUGGCAACUUGAUAGUAGUUGUAAAUGUAAACUGAGCAAUGAGCAUGCAGUAUAUGUCUUGAUCAUUCUGCACUCUUGAGUUUGAUUAGUUGUCCUGGUCAUUAAGCUUCAGCCAAAUGUCUUGGACUCUUUGUGAGAGGUCGUCUAAGGCAUAGUUUUGUUCUGAGUGUAUGACCUGUUUUUCGUUGCUAGUCCCAUCAUUACUUACCAUAAUAUUUUAAGUUAUUAGUACUGUAAUUGUUGUUAGGAAGAAACCAUUUGUGUAUGAUGUGGACUUAGACCAGAAGCAGUUGUAUAUGAUUCAUGUUCUACUUAAUUAAGUGUAAGAAAAGUUUGAGGCCUCAGAAAUCUUGGAUGAUAGUUUGAUUUUGUUAUCUAUUUCUUGCUUUUCAAGGUUUUUUCUCGAUAAUGUCAUUUGACAAUUAUAUAGAAAAUAGUUUAAUUGUGCUGUUUAUGUUCUUAAUUCUGCCCUUGUGUAAUUUUAUUCUAUUCCUUGUUUUGCCUUUAUUUUUGACAAAAGCCUGCUCAAGAAAAAGGAAAGGAAGCUACAGCACAGAGUGGUGGUCAGAAAGAAUGCAAGGUAAGAAGCUCUUUUUCCACAGCUUCUUCCUGAUUUUCCUUCUUUCUUCAUCCUUUUCUAGGCAUGUGCAAUCUGAAGUUAAACCAGAUUUGGAAUUCUUUAAAAGAAACAUUAUGUUUACACAAAUAAAACCAUAUUGAUCUUUGAUCACCAACAUAAUUAGUAAUCGGCUUGCAGACUCUUGGUUUGAGAUCUUUUUCUUUUUGCUGCCUCUAUGCCCUGUUGAAAAUAAAAUGAUGCUACAAUUACAGUAGAUACAAAUCUUACUCGAGCUUUGGCAAGGUUUGUUCUUGCCUAUUUCCAAACAAGUCCUAGUUCUUAGUUCUUAAGGUUAGGCAUUCUUUGAGAUAUUAGAUGUUUAUGCAGAAGUGAGACCUAGUUCCAGUAUUGAGCAACUACUACAAUGGCAUAUGUGGUUCAAAUGGGAACUGAAAUUCGAAUAGGAGUCAAAAUGGAUCGGAAUUUAAAAUGGAAUGAUGAAAUCUCCUAAUUUGUUUUUUUUCAUAAUAGGAAUGGGAAUUGGUACAGUUGAUUCCCCUUAUUACUGUGGUUGAGUAAAGUUCAGUUGGCUUUAGGAGUAUUUAAAAUAGAACAGACAACUCAAAAUGUAAAUUGAAUUCAACACUCAAAAUAUGAAAUUCAAAUCGAAACUUCACAAUUAGAAUUUGACUUCGAAUUUGAAUUCAUGCUUAGAAUUUAAAACUCUAAUGCAAAUUUGGAUCCACAAUUUGAAUAUUUAAUUUUGUUUAUUUGAGUCAAAUUUGAAUUCAAAAUGAGAUAUUGAUUCACAAUUCAAAUUUUAUUCAAAUUGAAAUUAAAUAAUAAAAUUAAUCUUAGAAACAAAUGUAUACAAAAAUUAAGUAUUGAGUAAAAUUCUAAUUUUAGCUAAAAUUUAAACCCGCUAAUAAAUUCAUAAUUAAAAUUUGAAUCCAAAUUUCAUAUGAGAAUUUCAUGUAUAAUUUGAAUUCACAAUUCAAAUUCAAGUUCAAAGUUAAAAUUAGAACUAAAUUCAAAUAUUAAACUUUUAUUGGAAUUUACAGUUGAACUUUAGAAAUAAAAACUUCAAUUUGAAUCCAUAAUUCAAAUUUGAAAUUAUAAUUUAAUCUGAGUUUAAAUUUAGAAUUAUAUUUGAAUUUUGUUAAAAAAAGAAAAGAAGGAUUCUUUUCUCAAUUCCCUCUGGAACUAAGUUUACUCCUACUUCCUUUAUUGGAGUCAUCUGGGGAGAGAAAGUAGGGAGAGGGAUUCAUUCCCUCCCGUAUGAGACUGGAAUUCAAAUCCCUUGAACCAUAUACAAAUGAUGGGGGUGACAUGCCUAUUUGUCAUGCCCCGCUCUCUAGGGGGUCGCCCAUUCUAGAAUUACUCUAGCUCUAGCACGCUUAACCCUUUUAACCUCUUGGGCCUAGCCAUAACCCAAAAUGCUAUAGCUGGAUUAAGAGGUUUAACACUAUUAUACCUUAUAUAUAGAACUAUUCUAAAUCUAAGGGGUGUCACAUUUCUCCCCCCUUUAAGCUAUGACGUCCUUGUCAGACACUUACAAGCACCAGGCGAUAUGAGACUCAUCUCGCUUGCCUUAACCGACCUUGUGAGGAGCUGCACUCCACCCACAACAGCCGCGCUCUCUCCACGGUAUGACCCUUGCUCAGUUGAGACUCAUUUCACAGUUCUGGGUGGUGAUUGGCUCUAAUACCAAGUGUGACGCGUCGCUUUCUAGGGGGUUACCCAUCCUAAAACUGCUCUAGUUUAGUACACUUAAUCCUCUUACCCUCUUGGGCCUAACCACCGUCCAAAAUAUUAUAGCCGAGUUUAGAGGUUUAACCUAUUAUACCUCAUAUAUAGGACUAUUCCAAAUUCUAGGGGUGUCACACUAUUCCCAUUCCAAGGCUCCAAUCCUUUAAACCAAACAUUCCUUAAGGUCAUCCUUCAGAGACCUACUUGUAGGCCUUCUUCAAACUCUUGGUACGCUAUUCCAUCAAUGAGAUCUAGAUCUAGUAUUAAAGCAACUGCUAAAAGACCAACUUGCAUGCCCCAAAAAAAAGGUUGUUUUGCAUAGUAGUCCCUAAAGGCUUUUGAUUUUGCAUUUAAUUUUCUCAAAAGUUGUCCUCCACAAGCUAGUCCAUCCUUAGUUGCACAUAUUGGUCCUUCAGGUGAGCUUAACAACAGAUUGAAACAAUAUUCCAAGGUUCCUUUGGUCAACUUAACAGCAGAUUUAAAGGAUAUUCUAAUUGUUAAAAUCGGAACGGCGAAAAAUAGAUUUAGAAAAUAAUUUAAUGCAGGAAACGAAAAGAUAAGGAAAGAGCACACCGAUAUUUACGUGGUUCGGCCAACGGCCUACGUUCACGGGCGAAGACGGAGCAAAUAAUUUAUUAAUGUCGAAAAUGCGAAGUACAAAGAAGAUCUCUCAAAGAACCCAAACUCUAAUUAGAUCCGAAAGUGCCGUAACAAGAAACUCCAAGUGGUUUCUCUCUCAACACCGUACGAACGACUUAAUUAAUUAGAGCUUUUGUUUCUCUCUCAACACCGUACGGAAUACCAAUACCGGCUCUUCUACCGAUGUGCAUGGCUUAACUUGGGUUGUCCUCACCGUACGGACGACAUGCAUGGAUGACUUAAUUAGAGCUCCGGCAACUCGGAAUAAUUAGCGCAUGGCAUCUUAAUUAGUCGCGGCGUCAUUAACUUGGCCGUAGCAUGUAUAUAUAAUACAUGUCUCCUAACUAGAGUCUAAUUCUAAUUCAAUUAGAAUUACACUCCUAAUUAUAAUCCAUAUAUGCCAAAUGAAAUCUAAAUAAUAUCUAAUCCCGAUUAGAUUAGGAUUUACCCUCAAUUUAGAUAACUACAAAUCUAAAACAAAUAUAACAAUCUCCACCUUGGUUUAAAUUGUAAUUUAGCCGCCGCUAUGUCGAGGUCGCCACAAAACUUCACCUUGAAUUUAAAUUCUCCUCAAUGCUCCUUAACGCUCCGUGCUCCGUCUUCUCCAAACGCCCCAUAGGGUCUCAAAUGCUGCUAACUGCCACCAAGUCCAAACAAUGUUUGAACUUGGCAAUAGUAAGGGACUUAGUAAGCAUAUCCGCCGGAUUGCCUUCAGUACCAAUUUUCUUAACAGUCACCGUGCGUUUCCCAAUCACAUCCCGAAUAAACUGAAACUUUACAUCGAUGUGCUUUGUCCUCUCAUGAAACAUCUGAUCUUUAGACAAAUGAAUAGCACUUUGAUUGUCCGAAUAAACAAUCGUAGGAUUCCAACAAGAAAUAAGCUCUCCAAAUAAGCCUCUUAACCACAUAGCUUCCUUCACACCCUCUGUCAUAGCAAUAUAUUCCGCCUCCGUCGUAGACAAGGCGACAAUAAAUUGUAGUGAAGCUUUCCAACUAACUGCACAUCCGCCAAUAGAGAAUAUAUAACCUGAAAGUGAUCUCCUCCUAUCCAAAUCACCUGCAAAAUCCGAAUUAACAUAUCCAACCACACUAUCCUUACAUCUCCCAAACUCCAAACAAGUGUUAGUGGUAUCUCGUAAGUAUCUCAAAAUCUACUUAACAGCCUGCCAAUUAGCCUUACCAGGAUUGGUCAUAUAUCUGCUAACCAUGCUCACUGCGUAGGAGAUCUCCGGCCGUGUGCAAACCUUGGCGUACAUGAUGCUCCUGACAGCACUAGAAUAGGGAGCAUGUGACAUGUACUCCCGCUCAUCAUCGGACUGCAGUGAUGCCUUGGGGGAAAGUCUAAAAUGCGUCGCAAAAGGAGUGCUCACUGGUUUUGCAUCUGUCAUCCCGAAACGCUUUAGAAUUUUCUCUAUAUAUUUCUCCUAUGUUAAAUGCAGUAGUCCUGACUUGUUGUCCCUCUUAAUUUCCAUACCAAGAAUUUUCUUAGCAGCACCUAGAUCUUUCAUCUCAAACUCAUCCUUCAGUAAAGUCUUCAAUUUAUUUAUCUUAAUUAUGUCGCUGGAAGCAAUUAACAUAUUAUCGACAUAGAGCAACAAAUAUAUGAAAGAUCCCUUAUCAAGCUUUUUGAAGUAUACGCAACUGUCAUGCUUGCUUCUAGAGUAUCCGUGACCUGUCAUGAAGGAGUCGAACCGCUUGUACCAUUGUCGAGGAGACUGCUUUAAGCUAUAAAGCGAUUUCCUUAACAAGCAAACAUGGUCCUCCUUCCCUUCAACAAUGAAUCCCUCCGGUUGUUUCAUAUAAAUUUGCUCCUCAAGUUCUCCAUGCAGAAAAGUUGUCUUAACAUCAAGCUGCUCAAGAUACAGGUCAUUCAUGGCUACUAACGAUAAAAGAACACGAAUAAAAGUAUGCUUCACGACGGGUGAGAAAAUAUCAUUAAAGUCAACACCUUCUACCUGACUGUAGUCUUUAACAACUAAACGAGUUUUAUACCUUGUAUCUUCCACGCCGGGGAUUCCGUCCUUUUUCUUGAAGACCCACUUGCAGCCAACAAUUUUCUUGCCUGUAGGCGGUUUUACCAACUCCCAUGUGCGAUUCUUAUGGAGAGACUCCAUCUCCUCAUUCAUCGCCACCAACCACUCUGCAGAACUGGCAUCGGAAAUAGCUUGAUUAUAUUUCGAAGGUUCACCUUCUUCUUCUGUAUCUUGUGCCACUGAAAGAGCGUAAGCAACCAUAUCUUCAUAACCGUAUCUUUGCGGUGGUUUGAUCUGUCUCCUCGCUCUGCCUGUAGUAAUGCUCUGCCUCUCAACUUGUGGGGUUUCAGUUACUGAGGUGUCUGCUGACUGAACUUGUUCUGACUGAGAAGAAUUCUGUGACUGAACUAUGCCAUCGGUCUCUACCUCCACCUGCUUGCUAGCAAUCGGGGUCUCAUCAGAAGAAUUACGGUUAGAAUAUAACAUAGCAGAUUCAUCAAAUAUAACAUCCCUACUAAUAAUUAAUUUAGACGAUUCAGGACACCACAAUCUAUAUCCCUUAACCCCCGAUGCAUAACCAAUAAAAAUGCACUUUUUAGCCCUAGGUUCUAACUUGCCUUCAUUAACAUGAACAUAAGCAGGACAAUCAAAUAUUCGCAAAUUAGAAUAAUCAGAAGGGCUGCCAGACCAUACCUCCUCCAGAGUUUUACAAUCAAGUGCUGAAUGUGGAGAUCGAUUCACCAAAUAGCAUGCCGUAGAGAUCGCCUCUGCCCAGAAACUCUUCGCUAGGCCAGUAUUAGAGAGCAUACAACGGGCUCUCUCCAAAAGAGUUUUAUUCAUCCGUUCGGCCACUCCAUUCUGCUUUAGAGCAUGCCUAACGGUCUUAUGUCGAACGAUUCCUUCUUUCUUGCAGAAUUCUUCAAACUCUGACGAACAGAAUUCCAAACCAUUGUCAAUCCUUAAUCUCUUGAUCUUUUUUUCAGUUUGCUUCUCAAUCAUGACCUUCCACUGCUUGAAAUAAUUGAACACCUCAUUCUUACUUUUCAGAAAGAACGCCCACUCUUUACGAGAAUAAUCGUCAAUAAAAGUCAACAUAUAUUUAGCACCACCAUGAGUAGGAGUACGAGAGGGUCCCUAAAGAUCAGAAUGAAUAUAGUCCAGAGUACCUUUUGUUCGGUGAACUGCGGCCUUAAAGCUGACUCUCUUUUGUUUGCCAAGAACACAAUGCUCGCAGAAGUCCAACUUGUCUAAACUUUGACUACCAAGUAGACCUCUUUCGCCCAACUUCAUCAUACCAUAUUCACUCAUAUGGCCUUGUCGCAUAUGCCAUAAUCUGGUGCUAUCCGAAUCUGACACAGAGCAAGAAGUCACCGCUGUUGAACCUGUCACAGUGGAACCCUGUAGAACAUAUAACAUGUCGGACAACUUGGCCUUCAUCACUACAAGAUUCCCUUUAGCGACCUUCAUUAAUUCCAUCAGCUGAAGAAUACUUAAAGCCUUUAAUAUCAAGUGUACCUAAUGAGAUCAGAUUUUUUCUCAUAUCCGGAACAUGCCGAACCUCAUAUAUAGUCCUCACUACUCCAUCAAACAUCCGUACCCGAACAGUGCCAAUUCCAAUAACUAUACACUUACAGUGAUUUCCAAUCAAUACAUCUCCACCUUGAAUAGGUAUGUACGUUGAGAACCAUUCUUUAUGCGUGCAGAUAUGGAAGGAACAUGCGGAGUCCAUAAGCCACUCAUCCUGUUUGCAUGUCUUAUCCGUAACUGUGAAGACGAUAUCAUUUUUAUCUGAUUCUCCUGCUGCAACACUUGCUUCUGCUUCAGUAUUGGUGUUUUUCUGACUUUGAUUCUUAUCACCGUUAUUCUUCCGCUGCUCUUUAUUUUUCAAUUUGAAACAAUCAGCUUUUAUGUGACCCUUUUUCUUACAAUAACCACAAAUCAGAUUCCUGUGCUUUGACUUUGAUAUAGAUGUACCUCUAUUACCGGAACCCUUCUCCCGAGACCUCCCUCUAGCGACCAAACCUUGUCCUGAAGCUCCACCUAUCUCUGUUGUUUAUGCUGUACUGUCAAUUCUCGGUUCUUUUGAAAGUCAAGAUGAUUUAACAUCAUCGAGAUAUAGAGUAUCUCGUUCAAAUAGAAGGUCUCGAAACAAAAAUUCUUUAAAGAGGCGGUAUGAGAACAUAAUAAUAAAAGGCUUCAGAUAUUCCCUCGAUUUUAACAUCUAUUCGAGCGAAUUCCAUAAGUAAUAGAAUUAACAUUCAGUCUAAAUGCGACUUAAUAGAGGCUGUCCUUCCGCCUGCGUCAACAUAAAGAACGCAUGCUUGCACAAUAUAAUAUUGUUUGGUGAGAGAUUUCGUGCAUGUAGAGAUGAGCCUAAUUUAAGCCAAAGCCCUGUAGCGGUCUUUUCAUCAAGACUCGCACAAUACCAUCAUCGAUAAACAUAAUUGUAUUGCCGUAAGUUUAUGCAUCAAUCUCCUCCAUUCUGGCUCCACCGUCAAACGAGAUCGGACAUCUUUUUUUUCCCAACAGUUGCCUUCUGCAAUCCUUGCUGUUCAAUACCACGCAUCGCUUGACUUGCCAUAAUGCCGAAAAUGUUGGGUCCUGUAAAUUUCUAAUCUCGAGCUUCGUCGUCAUCUGUAAUCCCAUAGGAACUAGAACAUCUCUGAACCAGUUGUUAACAAUCAAGUCGCGAAACAUUUAGAUUCAGAACAAAUAAUUAUAUGCCAGGAAACGAAAAAGAUAAGGAAAGAGCAGCACCGAUAUUUACGUGUUCGGCCAACGCGAUAUACGUGGUUCGCCAACGGCCUACGUCACGGCGAAAACGGAGCCAAAUAAUUUAUUAAUGUCGAAAAGGCGAAGUACACAAGAAGAUCUCUCAAAGACCCGAACUCAUAAUUAGAAUCCCGAAAGUGCCGCAACAAUCAGAAACUCCAAGUGGCUUCUCUCUCAAACACCGUACGAACGGACUUAAUUAAUUAGAGCUUUUGCUUCUCAUCUCAACAUCCGUCGGAAACCAAUACCGCAUCUUCUACCCUGAUGUGGCAUGCUUAACUUGGGUGUCCUCACCGUACGACGACAUGCAUGAUUGACUUAUAUUAGAGGCUCCCGGCACUCGGAUAAUUAGCAGGCAUCUUAAAUUAGUCGCGGCAUGCAUUAACUUGGCCGUAGCCAUGUAUAUAUUAAUACAUGUCUCCUAACUAGAGUCUAAAUUCUAAUUCAUAGAAUUUCAACUGACUCAAUUAUAAAUGCCAUUAUGCCAAAUGAAAUCUAAAUAAUAGCAAUCCCCUGAUUAGAUUAGGAUUUACGCUCAAUUUAGAUACUGACAUAAUUGCUAAACCAAAUAUAACACUAAUAAUAUAUCGGGUAUAAGUUUUUUGACAGAUACCGCUUAGCGAUGCUUGCUUUGUAACAUUGACACCAUUUAGCAUGCUUUGCCAAAACGCUUGUGAUAACGCUAUCCUUUCCUCGUUUGUGACUCUUAGGCGUUCAUCAAAGGAAUGAAAGAUCAUAAGAUACACAUUAUAGACUAAGCAACAAAUUAAGAAAGAAAAUGAAAUAAUACUUCCACGCCUAGGCAAUAUAAAUCUCCUAGGCUUCCCAUUGACCAUUAUCGAGACGAUGAAAUACUAUCUUGAGAAGGCAUAUUACUCUUUUGAGGGAGGUGAGCGAGCAGAGAAUAGGUUUAAUGUUUAAAGGAGCGUAAGUGGAUUUUGGGGAAGGAGAGCCCUAUUUCUGACAUGUUGAGGUAUAAUUACCUUUUAUCUUCCUAAAAAUAACCUCCUCGUGAAUUUUAUUGUACCAAUAUGCAUGAGGAGAAGGAUUUGAGAAACUAUCAAAUCAAUAACAAGAAUUCAGGAACUACAUACAACAAUUGAAAAGUUUGAGUUUUAUGCAAAAAUAUGCCCAAAAAUAUUUUUAUCUUAUAAAAGUAAAAUAAAUAGAUCAGCUCUGUAGGUUGAUCCGUACUUAGAAUGAAAAAGAAACUAUGCUUUAUCUAUGUCAAAUCUCUCCAACUUCAUUGCCUUAACAAAAUAUACCUUCUCCUGGAAGCUGUUUAUAUGUCCAGAGGUACUCUUAGUGACUUCUAGCUAUUUGUUCAACUGGAUUUUUUUCUUUUUUUAAUCUGGUGUUGCUUUUAGAACUCUUAGUAGUUUUUAAAUGAUACUUUAUUGUUUCAUCCUGGUUCAUUCAUCAUUUGUGUUUGUGAUUUGAUAAUCUUGUUGAAUUUAACAAAUGAGGCAUUUUGCAGUUCUAUUCAAUGCCGGAGGGCUGUAAAAUAUGGACGGAUCCUGUCGGUUUGCUCAUCAUUUAGGAAAAUCG
rnacentral:lncRNA from 1 species